rnacentral:rRNA from 1 species
GAUGAACGCUGGCGGCGUGCUUAACACAUGCAAGUCGAACGGAAAGGCCCAAGCUUGCUUGGGUACUCGAGUGGCGAACGGGUGAGUAACACGUGGGUGAUCUGCCCUGCACUUCGGGAUAAGCCUGGGAAACUGGGUCUAAUACCGGAUAGGACCACUUCUUGGAUGUUGUGGUGAAAGGUUUUUCGGGGGGGGGUGAGCUCGCGGCCUAUCAGCUUGUUGGUGGGGUAAUGGCCUACCAAGGCGGCGACGGGUAGCCGGCCUGAGAGGGUGUACGGCCACAUUGGGACUGAGAUACGGCCCAGACUCCUACGGGAGGCAGCAGUGGGGAAUAUUGCACAAUGGGCGCAAGCCUGAUGCAGCGACGCCGCGUGGGGGAUGACGGCCUUCGGGUUGUAAACUCCUUUCGCUAGGGACGAAGCGUUUUGUGACGGUACCUGGAGAAGAAGCACCGGCUAACUACGUG